GGUAGCCAGUUCACAGCACGUUUGCUUCAAAUUAGUCAGUCCGGACGAGAAAGCAGGAUCGGUCACCGCGCGCGUUUAUCGACCGACGAGAGUGGAACCCAUAUCGCCUGCGCCGAGUGGCUGAUUCGCGUCGCAUCGAAAGGGCCACACACUAGUCGUUGCCGCCUCCACACAAGCUAUCCAUAAACGCAAGCAAUUGCCGAUCAGCUAAACCAGCAAACACGAAUCACGCCGUGUUCACAGUCACAUCGAUAGAACAGCAGCAGCGCUGAGUGCACAAAGCACAAAGAAAAGGGACCCUGGCAGUGUAAAACCAAACCCAAACAGUAAGCAAGCAGCCAAUACAAGUGUACAGUGUGAUACAAACAGUGUGAAUGUCUUCGAUUUUCCAAUAAAUAAAUAAAAAAAAACAAGCAUAGACAGCGCCGUGACGCGGUGGGAAAUCCAGUGAAGAGUAAUAUAUUAAUACUAUGAACAUUUGUGCACGCUGUUGAGCUCGUCGCCGAGGAGUAGCCGAAGGACGCGCGCGCGGGUGAGCACGCAAUCGCGCUGGUGCAUCUGAUGGCUGUGGUCGGCCCUAGCCGGCAUUCGCGGGGCGCCUCCGCGGCGACGACGACGAUGUCGGCCGUCUCCAUGUCGCUGAUGCAGGGCGCGGCGGGGCCGACCGUGGCGGCGGCGGGUGGCAACGGCGGCGCAGCAGCGGCUGCCGUCGCGGCCGGAGCGCAAGCACCUCACGCCGCACAACCCUACUACCACCCCCAGCAUGCCGCCGCGCCCGCCCACACGCAGGAACAGGUGCAGCCGGAUCGUCCCAUUGGGUAUGGUGCAUUCGGUGUAGUUUGGGCUGUGACCGACCCGCGGGAUGGCCGCCGAGUGGCGCUGAAGAAGCUCCCGCAUGUGUUUCAGUCGCUGGUGUCCUCAAAGCGCGUUUUUCGCGAACUCAAGAUGCUCUGCUUCUUUAAACACGAGAAUGUGCUUUCUGCGUUGGAUAUCCUGCAGCCACCGCAUCUCGACUUCUUCCAAGAAAUAUACGUGAUAACCGAGCUGCUCCAGAGCGACCUGCACAAGAUCAUCGUCUCGCACCAGCCGCUCUCCUCCGAUCACAUCAAGGUGUUUAUGUACCAGAUUCUGCGCGGGCUCAAGUAUCUGCAUUCGGCGCGGAUACUGCAUCGCGAUAUUAAGCCGGGGAAUUUACUCGUCAAUAGCAACUGUGUUCUGAAGAUCUGUGAUUUUGGUCUGGCGCGUGUCGAAGAGCCGGACGCGUCCAAGCACAUGACUCAGGAGGUGGUCACGCAGUACUACCGCGCGCCGGAAAUUCUCAUGGGCGCGCGACAUUACACCGCAGCGGUGGACGUGUGGUCGGUUGGUUGCAUAUUCGGCGAGCUGCUCGGACGACGCAUACUCUUCCAGGCGCAGAAUCCAAUCCAGCAGCUUGAGUUGAUCACUGAGUUGUUGGGUACGCCCUCUAUGGAUGAUAUGCGGUAUGCGUGCGAAGGCGCAAAGUCACACAUGCUCAAUCGGGCGCAGAAGCCACCUUCACUCACCGCUCUCUACACGCUGAGUAGUCAGGCCACUCCUGAGGUGGUGCAUCUGUUAUGUCAGAUGCUCGUAUUUGAUCCAGAUAAGCGAAUAAGUGUGGUGGACGCAUUGGCACACCCGUAUCUUGACGAAGGGCGGCUUCGGUACCAUUCGUGCAUGUGCAAGUGCUGCUACACGACCAACAGCGGUAUGCGGCAGUACACCUCCGAGUUUGAGACGACGGCACCGCAAGCAUUCGAUGACAGAUGGGAACGCAAGCUUACAUCAGUACGACAGGUCAAAGAGGAAAUGCACAAGUUCAUUGCGGAACAGUUGAACACGUCGCGCGUACCCUUGUGCAUCAAUCCGCAGUCGGCGGCGUUCAAGAGCUUCGCCAGGAAUUCGAAAGAGCACGGCAAGCAGUGCGCACCUUUCAAGAAGACGCUCGAAAUCUUGCUCUCGCCCGUCAUCUUUCUGUGCGCCGCGUAACACACGUAUUCGUAUUUAAGUUCACACACACAUGCGCCGAAAGAAACAAAAACACGCAUCUCGAGCCGAUCAUGUGCCGCCCGCUUGUGUAAAUGUUUUCAUUAGUUCGACGGUGGCUCACCCUAGCGAGCAUCCGCCCUCGCCACACAAGUGGGACUGACCAACGUGACGAUGGUCGAUCAUGCAAGGGCCAUGAAUGCGACCACCACGCAGCAGGAGGUGCAAAGACUAUUAUAUGCAUCGUGUGCGAAGAGAAAAUAGAAAAAUGGCCGGCCGCCGCGAAAACCGAAUACACCAAAUAUAUUUAUUAUACAAAAAAAGCUGAAAGACGAAAGAAACAUAACAAAACACUGCAAACACAUGCGACACGCACGCGCAGACACUAAUUCGUAGCCAAGUGGAUUGUGUAUCGUGUACAUUUUUUGAUUCAGGGAUUUAUGUAAUAUUAACGCUAGUGUUCGUUCUCUCCUCCCAAUUUCUUACUAUAAAUUAUAUAUUAGCGAGUUAGGCAAACGCGUUGCACACACACUGUGUGCCGAGAGAUGGCGGUGGCGCAUUUAUGAUGAAUGGACGCAAACGCAAUGCAAUUUAGUAACAUUUUAUCUAUAUAAUUAUAUACAUAAAUUUUUGUGAUUAUCAUAUUAGUGUGUAUCGAACAAAAGUGCAUUUGGCGACAUUUCGUGUGGGUGUGCAUUUUAAUUCUAUGUUUAUUUUUUAAACUCUUUUAGUUAGGGAGCGAAACUAAACCGCAUUAAGUGUAAUUAAACAUAACCUAUAAACUUAGGUGACAAGAAAACAAAACAUAUAAGAAAAAAAAAACACAAAAGAAAAUCGGUGACUGAUUGGUGUAACUUGUACAUUUCUAGCAUUGUAAGCAAAAAGUAGGGAAAACAUGUAAACCACUUACACACACACAUACACACAUAUACUUGAUUUAGAAUUAAAUCACUGCCUUUUCUAAGAUGAAGAUAAAUAUUAGAAUAUAAUGUGCAUGGAAAUAUAUUUUAAAUUAAUGAACUUGAAAGAAAAAACGAAAUGACGUGGGGGUUACGGUUUGAGUUUUGAUGAAGUGGAUUAAUUCAUAAGACUGCAUUAUAAAUAUAUGAUGGGUGUAUGUAACAUUUGAAUGUUAACGAUACGAAUUCAGUUAGCGUAAGAGUCGAGUGUACAUUUGGCAAGCGUAGUUCAUGCAUUUUGAAUGAUAACGGAUAACUAUAACUAUGUAUAAUUGUGAUAUAUUAAUAGUAAUUUGCCUCCCCCACAUACACAAGACAUACACAACCACGUGAACCAAGGACGAUGAAGAUGAUUCACUAAUGAAUUUAUGAUAGUGAUGUACAUAUAUAGUUUGUGUGACGCCAGGGUGAAGAAAGACGAAAUAACAUUUAAUUAAUUUUUAAGACUGUAUAAAACAACAAACAAUGACGAUGAUGAUAAUGUGAGGGAGGAUAGUUGUGAGGAUAGAGCAAAGUGUAUAAUUUUAAUAAGAAACAGCUUAACUCUCAUCCAUUGGUAAUAAUGGACCAAUCGAUUCAGACAUUUGAUGGAAUGCGCGCGCCUGAUAAACGAGAUGUAAAUAAUUCAUUAUAAGUAUAAGAUCCUUGGAUGAUUUCGUUUCUCGGGCGAGAUGCGCAAGGGACGACGUGACGUUUAGCGAUAUGGUUUUUUGUCUUUACGAGAAACGAUUCUAGUAAGUGUUCAAAGUGGCCACCAGUAUAAUUCUAAAUGAUAGCUGCAUUCGAAUCAAAGAAAAAUGAAAACAAAAUACACGAAUACUGAUGAUGAAA